AUUGAACGCUGGCGGAAUGCUUUACACAUGCAAGUCGAACGGCAGCACGGACUUCGGUCUGGUGGCGAGUGGCGAACGGGUGAGUAAUGUAUCGGAACGCGCCCAGUCGUGGGGGAUAACGUAGUGAAAAUUACGCCAAUACCGCAUACGAUCUAUGGAUGAAAGCGGGGGAUCGCAAGCCCUCCCGCGAUUGGAGCGGCCCAUAUCAGAUUAGGUAGUUGGUGGGGUAAAGGCCCACCAAGCCAACGAUCUGUAGCUGGUCUGAGAGGACGACCAGCCACACUGGAAAUGAGACACGGUCCAGACUCCUACGGGAGGCAGCAGUGGGGAAUUUUGGACAAUGGGCGAAAGCCUGAUCCAGCCAUUCCGCGCGCAGGAUGAAGGCCCUCGGGUUGUAAACUGCUUUUGUACAGAACGAAAAGGUUUCUACUAAUACUAGGAGCUCAUGACGGUACUGUAAGAAUAAGCACCGGCUAACUACGUGCCAGCCGCCGCAGUAA
rnacentral:rRNA from 1 species